rnacentral:RNase_P_RNA from 1 species
UCGGUUUGGCGAGGAAAGUCCGGACAGCAUAGAGCAGCGUACUUCUUAACGGGAAGGUGUUCUAAUUUCGAUUGGAAUAACAGCCAGUGCCGCAGAAAAGAUACCGCCUAGGGGCUUGCUUCUAGGUAAGGGUGAAAAGGUGGGGUAAGAGCCUACCGGGCGUUUGGUGACAAACGUUGCAAGGUAAACCUUACGCGCUGAAAGAUCAUGUAAACCACGAAUUUGAGGCUGCUCGCUUCAAUUCUUCGGAAUGUCGUGGAGGGUAGGUCGUUAGAGGUUACUGGUGACAGUAAUCCCAGAUAAAUGAUAGACACUACGCAAUUUGCGUUAGUACAGAAUCCGGCUUAUGAUUUGCCUCU